rnacentral:lncRNA from 1 species
AAGCUCAGCCAAACACCCUCUUAGUGUUGUGUAGAUUUUCAAAAUAAUUCAUUCUCGGUACAUGGAAUGCAACAGCAUGCUGCUUAUAACCCUAAAUCCAAAAGAUAUAUAAAGAUUCGCAUCGCAAGAGCGUUUCAAAUAAGUUUUGACCUCCCAAAUGCUGCCACUCUUGCGCAGCAGCCAAUACAAAACUGGGAUACAUAACAUAACAUAACAUAACAUAACAUAACAUAGGCCAACAACAAAAUUUAAUCAAUAUGGGGAACAAAAGUUGUAGUGAUAAGGUAGAGUUUACUUAGUUGGCAUCUACCAACUCCACAUCAAACACUAGCCAUGAAUUGGGAGG